rnacentral:misc_RNA from 1 species
UGUGGGAGCGAGCCUGCUCGCGAUGGCGGUGUGUCAGGUGUUCAAUAUGUCGGCUGACAUACUGCCAUCGCGAGCAGGCUCGCUCCCACA